UACGUAGGGGGCAAGCGUUGUCCGGAAUCAUUGGGCGUAAAGAGCGUGUAGGCGGCUCGAUAAGUCUGCUGUGAAAGUCCAGGCUCAACCCUGGAAGGCCGGUGGAAACUGUCGGGCUAGAGUCCGGAAGAGGCGAGUGGAAUUCCCGGUGUAGCGGUGAAAUGCGCAGAUAUCGGGAGGAACACCAAUGGCGAAGGCAGCUCGCUGGGACGGUACUGACGCUGAGACGCGAAAGCGUGGGGAGCAAACAGGG
rnacentral:rRNA from 1 species